UAAAUGGGGAAAGCAAAUGGAGGAAGGAGAAAGUUUUGUCAAUAAAAACACCUGACUUGUAGCUUUCAAAAAGUGAAAAAGUCUUGAUGUCUAAAAGUUCCACAUAUUACUACACGAAAAGGACUCGAGUGCCAAAGAAGUAGAUGGGAAUGUUAUGCCCCUAUUGUUAUAUUUGGCUCAUGAGAAGAGACCUCAAGUUGCACAUAACUUCAAAGCUGGAGCCAUGAAUUCAUUGGUAUUGUAUAUACCUUUCAUGCGUUAACAUUUAUGGUAAGGUUUGUGCAUGAUGCUGUGAAAUUAAUCAUUGGUUGUAUUAUGUGUUCUUGGUCCUAAAUGCAUAUAAGAGUGUCAUCAAUGAUUAGCAACGGGGAAAUUAUCCUUAAUGUAGAUUGUGACAUGUGCAUGCCUUUGUUGGAUGGCUUUGUCUUCUGCUGAUGGUUCAAAAGAGUGCUUCCUAUGAUUUUGUAGUUGGUGGCCAAAAGGGUUGGAGUGUUCCCAAUGAUCCCAGUUUCAAUCCUUUCAAUCAAUGGGCAGAAAAGAGCCGUUUUCAAGUUGGAGACUCCCUUGUGUUCAACUACCAAUCUGGCCAAGACUCAGUGUUGUAUGCAAGAGUGAAGACUAUGUGAGCUGCAACACCGAUUCACCUUAGGCAAAAUUCUCUUAUGGCUACACAGUCUUUAAGCUAGACAAAUCAGGGCCUCACUUUUUCAUAAGUGGAAGCAAAGACAACUGCCUGAAAAAUGAGAAGUUAACAGUGAUUGUGCUUGCUGAAAGGAACAAAAACAACAACCAAA